UACGUAGGGUGCGAGCGUUGUCCGGAAUUAUUGGGCGUAAAGGGCUCGUAGGCGGUUUGUCGCGUCGGGAGUGAAAACUCAGGGCUUAACCCUGAGCCUGCUUCCGAUACGGGCAGACUAGAGGUAUGCAGGGGAGAACGGAAUUCCUGGUGUAGCGGUGAAAUGCGCAGAUAUCAGGAGGAACACCGGUGGCGAAGGCGGUUCUCUGGGCAUUACCUGACGCUGAGGAGCGGAAGUGUGGGGAGCGAACAGG
rnacentral:rRNA from 1 species